rnacentral:rRNA from 1 species
GUGGGGAAUAUUGGACAAUGGGCGAAAGCCUGAUCCAGCCAUGCCGCGUGUGUGAAGAAGGUCUUCGGAUUGUAAAGCACUUUAAGUUGGGAGGAAGGGCAGUAAGUUAAUACCUUGCUGUUUUGACGUUACCGACAGAAUAAGCACCGGCUAACUUCGUGCCAGCAGCCGCGGUAAUACGAAGGGUGCAAGCGUUAAUCGGAAUUACUGGGCGUAAAGCGCGCGUAGGUGGUUUUGUAAGUUGGAGGUGAAAACCCCGGGCUCAACCUGGGAACUGCCUCAAAAACUGCAUGACUAGAGUACGGUAGAGGGUAGUGGAAUUUCCUGUGUAGCGGUGAAAUGCGUAGAUAUAGGAAGGAACACCAGUGGCGAAGGCGACUACCUGGACUGAUACUGACACUGAGGUGCGAAAGCGUGGGGAGCAAACAGGAUUAGAAACCCCGGUAGUCC